UACGAAGGGUGCAAGCGUUAUUCGGAAUCAUUGGGCGUAAAGGGUGCGUAGACGGUGUGUUAAGUCUAUUGUUAAAUCUUCCGGCCUAACCGGAAAUCAGCAGUGGAUACUAGCGCGCUAGAGGUUGGAAGAGAGAAGUGGAAUUCUCGGAGUAGCGGUAAAAUGCGUAGAUCUCGAGAGGAACACCAAUGGCGAAGGCAGCUUCUUGGUCCACACCUGACGUUGAGGCACGAAAGCGUGGGGAGCAAACAGG
rnacentral:rRNA from 1 species